rnacentral:tRNA from 1 species
ACCCAAAUAGCUCAGUUGGUAGACCAUUAGACUAUAGAUCGGAAGGUCCCUGGAUCGAUCUCGGGACUCGGCA